UUUAUUAUGAUACUAUAAGCUCAGAAAUGAAGUUGAUCGAACAAUUCGAUCGGUGCUAUAAACAUUUAAAUGAACCGAAUAGAAAUCAGAAUAGAAACAUCUGAAUGAUCUUUCUUGGACAUAGCCUACAUUUUGAAGUGACCCUUUGAAUUAAAAAGGUUCCUCACCCCUGCUUUUGAGGAAAAACAUCAAUGUGCUUGGCCACUCUGGUUUUUAAAUUAUUCUGAACUAAAGCAAGGAUUGUUCAAGGAAGUUCAAAACAGACUGUCUCUGGUUAAAUUAGUUCUACACCAAGCCUUUAGGUGGCAGUACAACUAAUUCGCACAAUGCGAAUUCCACACACAAGCCACAAAGAAGCCAUCUACCGCGGUCAACAACACCGACCUAUCUGAACAGAACCACGCGCUGUCUGUGUGGUUUCACUGUUACAAGUUUCUUGGCGACAUGGGGGAAAGUUCCUCACAUACCAACGGAAAAUGGGCUUCACAUACAUGCUGCUGUCUCAUAAUAUGGCGAAGACGAGUCACUUGAAGGCCUAACAGCUCUUAUGAGGAGCAGUCUUGCCAUAGAAGACUGAAAGAAUGAGCUGUAGAAACAACAGGGUGCCUGCUGCAGUAUGACGAGGACGCCCUGAUCAUAGAAGGUCCAGUGUCUUGGCAGGGUGAAAUGCCACUGAUAUCGUGUCCUGCAGGAUGCUGUGUCCUGCAAUCCUGUGUGCUGUGCUACAGACGCGUGUGGAGGUCAACCCGAAAUGGGCACAGUAGCGUGAAAGAGGAUCCUGGCAGGGAGACGGUAGUGUCCUGCAGGAUGGUGAUGGGCAAUCUUACAAGAGACCACAGAAAACUGAUAUAGUCUCCCAGAAGUGAGACUGAGUGCCUGUUGCAGUAUGACGAGGAAGCAGUGACCAGAGACCUUCAGUAGACCCUGCUGGCAUGAUUGGCGGCUGAAGAACAUAAUCAACAGCAAUGUUUAUAAUAUUGUACAUACCUGUAUAGUCUGCACUAAAAUGCUGUACCUGUACUAUUUUUCCUCUUACUUUCAUAUUUACUAUGAAUUGACAACUUUUACUCAAAUCCAUUUUUGUAUGUGCCCUGACUAAAACUAUCCUUAAACCUAACCUGUCAGAGGUGUAAUAACAACCUGCUCUUAGCAAUGUGGCAGCAGUCUACUUGGAUGCAGCGGGGAACAUAGAACCCUUUUUUUGAAAAAGCAUUGUAUGUUUCUGAGUUUUAUGAAUUGUGCCCUUCCCAAACCUAACCUGUCGUAGGGGCCUAUGAAAUCCGUUUUUUUUAAUUAUUAUUAUUUACAUUUUUGAACUUAUU